UUGCUAUUUGUAACAGGUAUUCCAACCUCGCUGCCAGGCACUGGAGGUGGGCACGGGGGCUACGCGCAGAGGGACCGUGCACCUCAGGACCGGUCCUGCGCGACGGGGACGGCCGCCUGGCCCCAUCCCGGAGUACUGCUACCUCUAUCCACCCCCAUUUUCGUUUUACUGGGAGAGGAAGACAUUAAUUUCCGGAGGCGUGAAGAGGGUAACUGAGGAGCACCCUCUCCAAGGCAGCUGCUAAAAUAUCUGCCCGAAGAGGCUCCCCCAGCUGCGGCCGGGAUGUCGGCGCAAUGCCUCGGGCAGCUCUUGCCUCGCCGCGUCCGGCAGGACUCUGCAAGAAACCGCAGACAUCGCUGCUGCGGCUCCCCGCGCAAGAACGGAGCCCGUCCCGGCAAAGGGAAAUUUAAAAAAGUAAAGAAAUUCUUUCAAGGCGGGAGGGAAAGGGGGGGUGGGGGGUCGGAAAUCAUUAAAAAGACCUCGCGGGGUUAAAAUCGCGCUUCACGCAACUCGUCAGUCACCGCCGGGGUACGUACCCUGCCGACCCCCUCUCCAAGGUGGGAUGCGGUUCUGCUCCGCUCACCAUCGCAGGCUUCCAGAUCUUCCCCCCACCCCUCCUUUCCCCUCCCCUUCUCCUUUUCCCCUUUUCCUUUUGGUAAGGCCCUAGACGGCCAUCCUCCAGACGACACCCCUCCCACCCUCUACCUCCUCACCGCUGCCCCCCCACACGUACCUGGUGGUAGGGGCUGUAGGCGGCUGCAAAGUAGGGCUGGGGAGGGCCGUAGACUUGGUACAUAACAUCCAAACAGCUCAUGGCUGGCCGCAGCCGAGAAUUAAUUUUUUUCUCAUCAACGCGUGUUCUGCAUAGUGGAGCAGUGCUUCGCGGGAGGGAGGCUCCCGGGGGUUAAGAGGCACCACUCAUUGGUGGGAGGAGUAAGGGGGGAUGAGGCCGCGCUGGGCUGGGAUGACAGCCCCCUCCCUGCCUUCCUUCUCUGGCUCACUCCCGCACGCUAGUGCGGCUCACUCCAGCGAACACACCGGGGCCGGAGAAACCCCGCAGCCGCCGGCGACUUUCAUCCGAGGAUGUGGCGGGCGGCAGGGGUGAGGGGAGCCGGGAAGAGCCCUUUCUGCAGCCGGGACUGCCCGGAAGGCGCAGGGAAGCGCCAGUAGCUGGCGGCCGCUCUGGCCGCGUACGAACCCGCCGACCGCUCGGAGUGAGCUGGCGGGCGAUUGGGGUGAGGGUGCUUCCAGCGGGACGACACCUACCGGGCUGCCUUUCAUUUAAUUUACUUAAUUUAACUUGAUAUCUUUCAUUCCACGUGCUUGCUGCGCCGGGUGGUGCCUCGCCGCCAAUGCCGGCUCCUACGGCGGCCUCGCAGGCAGCUCCCCUCCACCGGGUCCCGCUGUUGAUGGGGGCGGUGAGACUCCGGGAAAGGCAACAGUCUGGGACUCCCUCCCAAAUCCCACAGAAUUCCGCGUCCGCCGGAAAAUGCCGUCACCAAAGUCAGGGGAGCUGGAAGGUCCAAUGGAUCGAAGGAGGGAAAAUAGUUGUUCUCGAGAAGGUAUCUCCCCAGGAAUUCUGAAUCGUUCCAAAUGCCGGGAAUGGCGAUGCUUUGUCAUUUAAUAGAAACUAAACCAACGCCGAUGGCAAAAGCAAGUGAAAAGAACAAAUUAUCCUGCAGGUAAAUUGAGUUUCGCUCCCCAGCUUUCUGCUGAGUACGACACAGAGAUGUGAAUAGAUGAACGUAUGGCAACUGCUAAUGCUGACAGGCGCGCACAGGAGGGAGAUUAGCUUCUAACAGAGAGAUGUAAAUUCUCAUUUCAAUAUCAAUCCUUUGCAAUAUUUGUCAUCGCGGUAUGGGUCACACCUACAGUGAAAAGAGACCCGUUUUAAGUGUUUGUAACAAAGAGAAAAAUACAGAAAAUCUGAGAGAAAUAAUGUUGCUUGUUUCAAAUGCUGAUUGUUUACAAAAUGAUGGGGGAAUAUCUGAAAAGAAUGAAUACUUGGGAUUUUGAAGACCUAGAAAUCUCUAAUCUUAGGAGAAAAUUCUUACAAUUAAAGAUUAGUAUUUAGCUCUCUUUUGUUUCCUCCAAAACAUAAUUUCUAUAUUCUAGGUGCUAGAUAUUAUUUUGAAUGGCAAUCCUAUGCCAAAAUCAGACUUUGCUGCCUCAUGAGCUGAAGUUUCACUUCUUUUCUGCACUAGGUUCAAGGUUACAAUUCAUAUAUAAUCACAUUUAUUUUCUCCCUCCUCUAGUUUGGUAAAUUUGCUUUUCAUACUGCAGUGCACCCUGGAAUGCUGUGGCUGCAGGGUUCAGCCCUAGCACCUCUCUCUCAGAGCAAAUUUUGUGUUGGUGGUCAAGAAGAUUAAGAGGGGAAGAAACAAACAAACCAAAAAAGUAAGAAAUGUAUCUCAUAGUUCAUAAUUUUAUUCCUUUUAAGUAGCAAGCAAAUAUCUAUGACACCAGGUAGGACUCUGUGGCUGGCAUCCAAAACAAAGCAGACAGCUAAAGAAUGCCCCUCCACUCCUCAGAGCAAGAGGCUGAGGGUUGCCAUGGGGAAAAUGGGGUCCUGCUUCUCCCCUGCUCAUAAGAGGCAGGGAGCUUUCCCAUCAUGCAGAGAUCUCUGAACGUUUCAAAGGUACAAAAUCUCUGUGAAGGCAAGUUUGUUUGAACCCAUACUCCAAAGAUACAGUGUACCUUCUUGCUGCUUGUACCCGCUCUUCAAUAACUUCAAAGGUAGGACUUGUCACUUGCCAAGGCUAAGCUUUUGACUCUCGUGAAGAGAAGCUCACAGUGAAAUAGCAACACUUGCAUCUGGGUGCCACCAUGCAGAGAGUGGCCUACCUUGUGCUCCCUGGAGAAUCUCUGCUUGAGGGGAUGAAUUGAGGGGGUUUACCUCACACUCAGGUAUACAUUAGGGGAUUCAGGUUCAGUGUGGCUUGAUAGGAAUUCAGUUUCUUUCCCAAGGAGCUCAGCGACUGUAAACUCUCCAAUGUAUGACAUGAGCAAACUUUAAUGCUUCAAUACAGAGCAAUACAGACAUUCGAAGUGCUGGUGUUGUUCUGCCCUCUUGGUGCACUCUGUGAAAUCAGUACUGGUAUAGGAAAUUAUCCUGGAAACCAAGGGUCAGAGACUAUAUUCACUAAUGAUCUCACUGCACGUUUGCAAUUACAUGAAAACAGUUUUUCUUGGUCCUAACUAAAGAAUUUUAGGUGGGCUAAGUACACGAGGAACCACAAAAGCUUGGGGAAAAAAAACACAUCAAACAUCUGUGGGAGAAAAUUACUGUAGCAAUUAAAGAAAGAACACUUUUAGGAAGGAUGUGGGUUAAGAACUGGCUGUGUACCAUUAGAACACUGGCAUGGGUUUACUUCUAUGGUCAUGAGCUGGUAGUGCUUCACAGAAAAACCUCAUUAAGAAUAAAGAAUGAUGAAUUUUGAUGAACAGAGAGAUGCAGAAAUGACAGCUUGCCUUGGAAAGCACUCCCAUAAAGCAAUGCAAUGGUACUUUUAAACAAAGCUGGAACAUUUCACCAAAGAAGAAUUGGGUGCUACUGUGAAUGGCUUCACUAGAGAGGCAAACAGGUCACCAAAUGAAAAAUAAACAUUCAGAAAGAUCAGAACAAAAAAGUCUUGGAAACAUGAUAGCAUUGAUCACAUUUCUUGCUAACCUUCCCUGGAAAAUCUGCAUCCUGUGCCAGCCUGCCAGCACCCAGUGUGCAAAAGCUGAGCCAGUGAAUAACAUGUUUGAUUCAAGGAUUAAAUAGUUUUUUAGCCAGCAGUCUGACCAUGGGUAUAAUUCAUACUGUUAAUAAUACAGUUUCUUUAGAAGAUGGAGGAGCUUUUUCUGUUUCCAGAAAGCCAUGUUUUCCCAAGUGGAAGAUGCCACGAGGUGGAUGGAGAAUCCAGCUCCUCCUGCAGCCAUUUGCUGCUGUGCUUAGCUGCCUUCAAUGCUUCGCACUUCUAACUUGAGUUGGGCUGACUUCAACUUCCAGCUGUUGGUUCAUACGUCUUCACUUAGCUAAACAAUCCUUUCAGAUGUAAUAUUUUCUCUUAAGAAACUUAGUUUAUUCCACACAAUUUUUUUUUCUGCCAAAAUAGAUGCAGCUCCUCAAUAUCACACAGCAGUUUCAGACAACUUUUUGUACCUCUUUUCUUUACAUCCUGUGCAAUUUUCGACAUUCUUGGCACAAGAACUCAUUGUUAUUCUAACACCUCUCUAGCUGAAGGUGUACACAAAGUAAAACAAUCUU